rnacentral:rRNA from 1 species
CGGUCUAAGUUCCUUGGAACAGGACAUCACAGAGGGUGAGAAUCCCGUACGUGGUCGCCUGCCUUUGCCGUGUAAAGCUCCUUCGACGAGUCGAGUUGUUUGGGAAUGCAGCUCUAAAUGGGAGGUAAAUUUCUUCUAAAGCUAAAUACUGGCCAGAGACCGAUAGCGCACAAGUAGAGUGAUCGAAAGAUGAAAAGUACUUUGGAAAGAGAGUCAAAAAGCACGUGAAAUUGUUGAAAGGGAAGCGCUUGCAGCCAGACUUGCCCGCAGUUGCUCACCUAGGCUUUGGCCUGGGGCACUCUUCUGCGGGCAGGCCAGCAUCAGUUUGGGCGGUUGGAUAAAGGCCUCUGUCACGUAUCUCCCUUCGGGGUGACCUUAUAGGGGAGGCGCAAUGCAACCAGCCCGGACUGAGGUCCGCGCAUCUGCUAGGAUGCUGGCGUAAUGGCUGUAAGCGGCCCGUCUUGAAACACGGACCAAGGAGUCUAACAUCUAUGCGAGUGUUUGGGUGUCAAGCCCGAGCGCGCAAUGAAAGUGAACGGAGGUGGGAACCCUUUGGGUGCACCAUCGACCGAUCCUGAUGUCUUCGGAUGGAUUUGAGUAAGAGCAUAGCUGUUGGGACCCGAAAGAUGGUGAACUAUGCUUGAAUAGGGUGAAGCCAGAGGAAACUCUGGUGGAGGCUCGCAGCG